GAGGGUUGAUAGGUUAAGAGCUAGAAAACUGGACGUUACCCACAGAAGAAGCACCGGCUAACUCCGUGCCAGCAGCCGCGGUAAUACGGAGGGUGCGAGCGUUAAUCGGAAUUACUGGGCGUAAAGGGUGCGUAGGUGGUCGAUUAAGUUGUCUGUGAAAUUCCUGGGCUUAACCUGGGCAUGUCAGACAAUACUGGUUGACUCGAGUAGGGGAGAGGGCAGUGGAAUUUCCGGUGUAGCGGUGAAAUGCGUAGAGAUCGGAAGGAACACCAGUGGCGAAGGCGACUGCCUGGCCUCAUACUGACACUGAGGCACGAAAGCAUGGGGAGCAAACAGGAUUAGAUACCCUGGUAGUCCACGCUGUAAACGAUGUCAACUAGCUGUUGGUGCUAUAGAAGGCAUUAGUGGCGGAGCAAACGCGAUAAGUUGACCA
rnacentral:rRNA from 1 species